UUGAGAUUCUUGUAAGACCUUGCACUGACAACCAGCCAGCUAAUUCUGAGUGGCAAGUAUCAUCUUCACAAAGAAAUGAUGAUUUCAAGACCCUGUUUCUCCAGAAUCAGUCAAAAGCUGCUGAAAGGAUUGUUCCAUGCUGGCAAAAUCUCCAUGGAAAAGUCCAAGAGAAAAUUGAGGGAAGAUCUGCAGUUUUCAGAGUUUUGCAUUCUUGCUUCUGACUUAUUCAGGAUUUGCCAUGCAGAGUAACCAGUGAGCACCUGCUGUGCUGCCCAGGGGAUGGGGUGCUCCUUGGUUCCUCACACCAGCUCUGACCCACCAUGGUGUCUCCUCAAGCCUGGCCCUAAGGAGGGAAGAUGCUUUUGCUCACUGGCAGCAGCAGGAUUUGCUUCUCAGCAGAACUCUCAGUGCUUGCCCAUCCUGGCUGAAGAGAGCCAAAUGCAGCAAUUCCAGCUUUCAUCCAUGAGAUCACCUGAGCAUGAACAA